GGAUUAACGCUGGCUGUGUGCCUAAUACAUGCAUGUCGAGCGAGGUUCUUUUAGGACCUAGCGGCGAAUGGGUGAGUAACACGUACUUAAUCUGCCCUUUAGAUUGGAAUACCCAAUGGAAACAUUGGCUAAUGCCGGAUACGCAUAGAAUCGCAUGAUUCUGUUGUGAAAGGAGCUCCAAAGCUCCACUAAAGGAUGAGGGUGCGGAACAUUAGUUAGUUGGUGAGGUAAUGGCCCACCAAGACUAUGAUGUUUAGCCGGGUCGAGAGACUGAACGGCCACAUUGGGACUGAGAUACGGCCCAAACUCCUACGGGAGGCAGCAGUAGGGAAUAUUCCACAAUGAGCGAAAGCUUGAUGGAGCGACACAGCGUGCACGAUGAAGGUCUUCGGAUUGUAAAGUGCUGUUAUAAGGGAAGAACACUCAGUAGAGGAAAUGCUAUUGAGCUGACGGUACCUUGUCAGAAAGCGAUGGCUAACUAUGUGCCAGCAGCCGCGGUAAUACAUAGGUCGCAAGCGUUAUCCGGAAUUAUUGGGCGUAAAGCGUUCGUAGGCUGUUUGUUAAGUCUAGAGUCAAAUCCCAGGGCUCAACCCUGGCUCGCUUUGGAUACUGGCAAACUAGAGUUAGAUAGAGGUAAGCGGAAUUCCAUGUGAAGCGGUGAAAUGCGUAGAUAUAUGGAAGAACACCAAAGGCGAAGGCAGCUUACUGGGUCUAUACUGACGCUGAGGGACGAAAGCGUGGGGAGCAAACAGGAUUAGAUACCCUGGUAGUCCACGCUGUAAACGAUGAUCAUUAGUCGGUGGAGAAUCRCUGACGCAGCUAACGCAUUAAAUGAUCCGCCUGAGUAGUAUGCUCGCAAGAGUGAAACUUAAAGGAAUUGACGGGGACCCGCACAAGCGGUGGAGCAUGUGGUUUAAUUUGAAGAUACACGGAAAACCUUACCCACUUUUGACAUCCUUCGCAAAGCUAUAGAGAUAUAGCGGAGGCUAACGGAGUGACAGAUGGUGCAUGGUUGUCGUCAGCUCGUGUCGUGAGAUGUUUGGUCAAGUCCUGCAACGAGCGCAACCCCUAUCUUUAGUUACUAACAAGUAAUGUUGAGGACUCUAGAGAUACUGCCUGGGUAACUGGGAGGAAGGUGGGGAUGACGUCAAAUCAUCAUGCCUCUUACAAGUGGGGCCACACACGUGCUACAAUGGUCGGUACAAAGAGAAGCAAUAUGGCGACAUGGAGCAAAUCUCAAAAAGCCGAUCUCAGUUCGGAUUGGAGUCUGCAAUUCGACUCCAUGAAGUCGGAAUCGCUAGUAAUCGCAGAUCAGCUAUGCUGCGGUGAAUACGUUCUCGGGUCUUGUACACACCGCCCGUCACACCAUGGGAGCUGGUAAUACCCAAAGUCGGUUUGCUAACCUCGGAGGCAACUGCCUAAGGUAGGACUGGUGACUGGGGUGAAGUCGUAACAAGGUAUCCCUACGAGAACGUGGGGAUGGAUCACCUCCUUUCUACGGAGUACACCUAGUUAUGGAAAACAUAUUCGUAUUCAGUUUUGAGAGAUCUAUCUCUCUUUUGUUCUUUGAAAACUGAAUAUCGACAUUGAAAAAUUAUAUUAAUUAAUAUUUCAAAGUUUAGAUCAACCUAUAGAAUAUAUAUAUCAAAAUUAAAGACAACAAUAGGUCAUACAACAAAAUAACAAAACAACUAUUAAACAAGAUAAGAGUUUUUGGUGGAUGCCUUGGGUCUGGAAGUCUAAGAAGGACGUGAUUACCUGCGAUAAGCCUCGGUUAGCUGGAAAUAAGCUGUUAUCCGGGGAUUUCCGAAUGGGGAAACCCAAUUGAGCUAAUCCUCAAUUAUCAUUUCGAUGAAUCCAUAGUCGAAUGAAGAGACACGCUGUGAAUUGAAACAUCUCAGUAGCAGCAGGAAAAGAAAAUAAAGAAUGAUUCCCUUAGUAGUGGCGAGCGAACGGGGAAAAGCCCAAACCAACAUUUGAUGUUGGGGUUGUAGGACUACUUACACGAAGUUAGACAAAACUUAAACAUAGCAGAAUAAGCUGGAAUGCUUAAACAUAGAGGGUGAAAUUCCCGUAAGCGAAAUGAAUAAGUCUUCAAGUAGUAUCCUGAGUAGGGCGGGGCACGUGAAACCCUGUCUGAACCCGCCGGGACCACCCGGUAAGGCUAAAUACUAACCAGACACCGAUAGCGAACUAGUACCGUGAGGG
rnacentral:rRNA from 2 species